CUACGUGCCAGCAGCCGCGGUAAUACGUAGGGUGCGAGCGUUAAUCGGAAUUACUGGGCGUAAAGCGAGCGCAGACGGUUACUUAAGCAGGAUGUGAAAUCCCCGGGCUCAACCUGGGAACUGCGUUCUGAACUGGGUGACUAGAGUGUGUCAGAGGGAGGUAGAAUUCCACGUGUASCAGUGAAAUGCGUAGAGAUGUGGAGGAAUACCGAUGGCGAAGGCAGCCUCCUGGGAUAACACUGACGUUCAUGCUCGAAAGCGUGGGUAGCAAACAGGAUUAGAUACCCUGGUAGUCCACGCUGUAAACGAUGUCGAUUUGGGGGUUGAGCUUUGAGCUUGGCGCCCGUAGCUAACGUGAUAAAUCGACCGCCUGGGGAGUACGGCCGCAAGGUUAAAACUCAAAUGAAUUGACGGGGGCCCGCACAAGCGGUGGAGCAUGUGGUUUAAUUCGAUGCAACGCGAAGAACCUUACCUACUCU
rnacentral:rRNA from 1 species